UACGGAGGAUCCAAGCGUUAUCCGGAGUGAUUGGGCGUAAAGAGUUGCGUAGGUGGUGAUUCAAGCGAAUAGUGAAAUCUUGUGGCUCAACCAUGAGGCUAUUAUUCGAACUGGAUUACUUGAGAGCAGGAGAGGUAGAUGGAAUUUCUGAUGUAGGGGUAAUAUCCGUAGAUAUCAGAAGGAACACCAAUGGCGUAGGCAGUCUACUGGCCUGUUUCUGACACUGAGGCACGAAAGCGUGGGGAGCGAACCGG
rnacentral:rRNA from 1 species